GACAGAGGGUGCAAACGUUGUUCGGAAUUACUGGGCGUAAAGCGCGUGUAGGCGGCCACACAGGUCGGAUGUGAAAUCCCUCGGCUCAACCAAGGAAGUGCAUUCGAAACCGUGCGGCUAGAGUCUCGGAGAGGAAGGUGGAAUUGUCGGUGUAGAGGUGAAAUUCGUAGAUAUCGACAGGAACAUCGGCGGCGAAAGCGGCCUUCUGGACGAAGACUGACGCUGAGACGCGAAAGUGCGGGGAGCAAACAGG
rnacentral:rRNA from 1 species